rnacentral:miRNA from 1 species
AACUUCACAUCAGCUACUCUUC